CUGGAUCACCUCCUUUCUAUGGAGAACUCAGCAGACGAUAGUUUGCUGCAGUGUCCUAGGUCAGUAAUGGUGGAGCGUAAAGUCGUUACGUUGUUUAAUUUAGAGGGCGCAUGGCGGAUGCCU
rnacentral:misc_RNA from 1 species